UGAAGCUGGCGUUAAGCACACCCCAUACGUGGCCCGAUCCCGAAGAUAGUGCAAUGCCGGGCCGACCCGCGGCGGAGGUGAAGCAGGCGUUAAGCACUCCCCAUACGUGGGCCGAUCCCGCAGAUAGUGCAAUGCCGGGCCGACCCGCGGCGGAGGUGAAGCUGGCGUUAAGCACUCCCCAUACGUUGGUAGAUCCCGAAGAUAGUGCAAUGCCGGGCCGACCCGCGGCGGAGGUGAAGCUGGUGUUAUAUACUCCCCAUACGUGGACAGAUCCCGAAGAUAGUGCAAUGCCGGGCCGACCCGCGGCGGAGGUGAAGCUGGUGUUAUAUACUCCCCAUACGUGGGCAGAUCCCGAAGUUAGUGCAAUGCAAGGCCGACCCGUGGCGGAGGUGAAGCUGGCGUUA
rnacentral:lncRNA from 1 species